CCGGCGACUGCAAGUCGAGCGAACAGACGAGGAGCUUGCUCCUCUGACGUUAGCGGCGACGGGUGAGUAACACGUGGAUAACCUACCUAUAAGACUGGGAUAACUUCGGGAAACCGGAGCUAAUACCGGAUAAUAUAUUGAACCGCAUGGUUCAAUAGUGAAAGACGGUUUUGCUGUCACUUAUAGAUGGAUCCGCGUCGCAUUAGCUAGUUGGUAAGGUAACGGCUUACCAAGGCAACGAUGCGUAGCCGACCUGAGAGGGUGAUCGGCCACACUGGAACUGAGACACGGUCCAGACUCCUACGGGAGGCAGCAGUAGGGAAUCUUCCGCAAUGGGCGAAAGCCUGACGGAGCAACGCCGCGUGAGUGAAGAAGGUCUUCGGAUCGUAAAACUCUGUUAUUAGGGAAGAACAAAUGUGUAAGUAACUAUGCACGUCUUGACGGUACCUAAUCAGAAAGCCACGGCUAACUACGUGCCAGCAGCCGCGGUAAUACGUAGGUGGCAAGCGUUAUCCGGAAUUAUUGGGCGUAAAGCGCGCGUAGGCGGU
rnacentral:rRNA from 1 species